rnacentral:rRNA from 1 species
ACCCUUUGUUUAAUCAACCGUCGUUGCUUCGGCGAACCUGUCUCUGGACGUCUAGGGACUGCCGGAGGGUCUCUCAAAGACCCUCUGGACCGCGUUCGUCGACGGCCAACUCAUUUUAAAUUCUUUCCAACAUACGGUUAAUCUGAAUUUAUUACUUGAAAUAAAAGCAAAACUUUCAACAACGGAUCUCUUGGCUCUGGUAUCGAUGAAGAACGCAGCGAAAUGCGAUAAGUAAUGCGAAUUGCAGAAUCUCAGUGAGUCAUCGAAUCUUUGAACGCACAUUGCGCCCUUUGGUAUUCCGAAGGGCAUGCCUGUUCGAGCGUCAUUUUCACACCGAUCAAAUCACUUGUUGGUUUGGCCUUGGAGGCUUGGUGACGACGUUUUAGCCGUCACCCCUCUCAAAGAUAAUGAAGAUGAUGACGACGGUUAUUCUGACCCUCGGUACACCGAGUUCUUUCACGGAACACGUAGCGUGGUGGUCUUGUAUCCGUCCGACCUCUAUCUUUAGAAACCCUCAAAUUUCACGGUUUGACCUCGAAUCAGGUAGGAAUACCCGCUGAACUUAAGCAUAUCAAUAA